AAUCAACGCUGGCGGCGUGCCUCAGACAUGCAAGUCGAACGAUUAAAGCUCUCUUCGGAGAGUGCAUAAAGUGGCGCACGGGUGAGUAACACGUAAGUAAUCUACCUUCGAGUGGGGAAUAACGUCCGGAAACGGACGCUAAUACCGCAUAAUGCAGCGGCAUCGCAAGAUGACAGUUGUUAAAGAUUUAUCGCUUGAAGAGGAGCUUGCGGCAGAUUAGCUAGUUGGUAAGGUAAUGGCUUACCAAGGCUACGAUCUGUAACCGGUCUAAGAGGACGGUCGGUCACACUGACACUGAAUAACGGGUCAGACUCCUACGGGAGGCAGCAGUCGGGAAUUUUGGGUCAAUGGGCGAAAGCCUGACCCAGCAACGCCGCGUGAA
rnacentral:rRNA from 1 species